AAAUUGAAGAGUUUGAUCAUGGCUCAGAUUGAACGCUGGCGGCAGGCCUAACACAUGCAAGUCGAG
rnacentral:rRNA from 6 species